AGUUAAAAUGAUUGAAAAAAUCCUUUUUUGUUUCGUAUCGUGAGAGAAUCAGACAUAAAAAAUUUUUUUGAAAUUUCUUUUUAAAAAAAAUAAGUUAAGAUCUUUUACUUUUUGUAUCAUGGCCUGUAGAGGAAUUAGUGGUUUCAUUUUUCCUGAAAGUCUUAGAGCUUCUUCCCCCUGUCUGUCGCCUGUUUCAUUAAGCGAAAAAAGAGGGAAGAAGAGGUGAAAUACUAGUCGAAAAGGCUGAUAGCUGGUUGGGGGGGAAACGCAUUUGAGUGCGGGGUGUAAAAUAAAUUUUUUUUAUUUUAAAAAAAAAUUUUUUGCAAGCUUAGCCCCUCAGGGUUAAGCUUGAGGGGAAGUUUUUAGAUUAUUUCAGCUUUGGUAGGGUUUAAAUUUCCUUUCUUUCACUUUUUUUUAAAGGAAGCUUUUGUUUAGUAUAAUUCAUAGUACCCCCUUAGUAAAAAAAACUUUUUUUUUCUAAUUAGUAUAGGAUCAGUAUGAGAGGAGUAAAACAAUUGUAAAGAAAAAAUAAGAUUUAAUUUUACGGUUUUUUUUAUGUAAAGGUGAGCCUAAGGAACUCGGCAAAUAUUAUUUUCGCCUGUUUAUUAAAAACAUGGCUUUUAGGUCGAAAAUUAAAAGUCGGACCUGCCCGGUGAGAAAUUAAACGGUUGCUUUUUAGUACUAAGGUAGCAUAGUAAUUUGUCCUUUAAUUGGGGAAUAGAAUGAAUGGUAUGACGAAAAAUAGCCUGUCUCGGGCUUAAGGAUUUUAAAGUUUUCAUUUUGGUGAAAAGACCAAAUUUUAGAUAAAAGACGAGAAGACCCCAUCGAGCUUAUUGACCCCUCCCUUUUGGGAAAGGAAUAAAUUUUGUUGGGGUAACAGAAAGAAUAAUUAACUCUUUCACGCUAUAGUAAAGAUCCUCCUUUGGGGAAAAAAGAAAAAGCUUCCGUGGGGAUAACAGCGUAAUUUCUUUUGAGAGACCUUAUUGAAAAAGAAGAUUGCGACCUCGAUGUUGAAUUAGGGUGUUAUCCGGGCGCAGAAGCUCGGAUUGUAGGCCUGUUCGUCCUUUAAAACCCUACAUGAUUUGAGUUUAGACCGGCGUGAGUUAGGUUGGUUUCUAUCUUUAUUUUUUGCUUUCUAUGUACGAAAGGACCAGAAAGCACCUUCGUUUAAGAAGGAUUUAAAACU
rnacentral:rRNA from 1 species